rnacentral:rRNA from 1 species
ACUAUUAUGUUCUGAUCAGGUCUUUGUUUUACGCUGCAGGAUGUCUUAACCUGUGCAUCAUGAGCUCGGAGAAAGACGCAUGCGCUAUGGACCAAAAGGGACAAGGGCGUACGCCCACAAGCCCUACUGUGACGCGUGGGGUGACAUGGUACCUGCACUCUUCCCAGACGAAGAGGAAAUGGAGUUCGCGGAGCAGCCGAACGCCCCUAUCCAGGAGACGACCGUGAGGCGUCGGGUUUUGAUGCCCCAUUUCCAGCGGGCAGCCGAGUACAGGCGAUUGUACCAGGGUCAGGGGACUUUCCAGUUUGCACCUGAAGUUGACAUGACACCGCCCACAAGGGGCCGAAGGCGCCAAGGAAGACGGGGCCGACUAGGGAAGGUCCUGGACCGAUCAGGAUGGAGGACAGUGUACCAACGAGGAAACGUGGACGCCCAAGGAAGAUUCCGAGCAUUGAUGCAGAGAGCCUGAGGAGCAUAACCGGUGUAUGUCGGUGUGGAACAUUGAUGCAGGCCAGGCAAGGACCGCGCUCAGUCCGGGAGUACACAGAGGAAUUCCUGGAGUCAGCCAAAAGAUGCAAGCCCAAGACAGCGGAGGAUUGGUGCCAGUGGUAUAAUGCAGGACGCCGCGAGGAGAUUCGGGGCAAGCUGAUUGGUGUGUUGGAACCAUUGGAAUUCGCCUUGGUGAACCGGAUGGCCGGUCAGGCGAUGGAGGCUGAACGGACACUUACUCGUCGGCUCGUCGCCAUCUCGAGCUCUGAGGAAGACGUGGAAGUGGAAGAGGAUCCAUCGGAGGACUCAGAGUGGGAAGAGGAGCCGGCGUCGUCGACCUGGAGUGGCCGCGCGGCUGGUCCUAAGCCGGAAGGGGAGCAGAAGUCUCCAGUUCGAAGUGGCUAGUGCUGGUACCUGAGUCAGCUAGUAGGAGUAGGAAACAAUUUUUUCUUCUUUCAUAAUGGUUUUAGCUUUUCGUUUUUGUUAUAAGGAUAUUCGCGGAUUUUGGCGAUACCUUGGGACCUAUUUAUUGUUGUAGUCCUACUCCAUUUCAUUUAUUAAAUUCAUUGUUGGUUUUAAAUGAUCUUGACCAAGUAGGACGCCUAUGUCGUGCUUCCCUUGAUUGUGUUUGGAAACUCACCCUAGUUUUGGGAUGUUAAGUUCGAACUGAAGAUUUGGAAUUCGAGACGAAUUCCGAAUAAGAGGAGGAGAAUUGUAAAACCCCAAAACCAGCCCAUUUAAAAUUUUUAAAUGCUAAUGGGUUCUCUACAGCCCAAUUAGAAAACCCUAGGGUUUUCCCUUUCUCUUUCCCUUAUAAAAGCAAGCCUCCACUUCUUUUCCUCUCAUCGGAAAUCUAGAAGCGAAGACCUGCAGAGAAUUCCCGGAAACCAGAAGCCCUAGCUGUAACACCCCCGAACCGUCCUAAGCAUAGGUCGACCCACCGGCCAACAAUCAAACAAGAACAUGACCGACGGACGACCCACACCAAGGGUUGGAGAUGAAAGGCCAACCGGCCAGCCAACAAUCAAACAAGAACAUGACUGACCGUCCAACCCAACACCAUGGUCCGGAAGCGCUACAUGACGGGCUAGGGACAAUCCGGUCAGAGUCACAAACUUUACUCCACGACCUAGACCAGUUCAUCCACUGAGGGCUGGGCUCGGGGGUCCCAGUUCUGAACCCGUCGGCUGUUGGCGGGCUGCUUGAGCUGCUAACGUGGGGAGUGCAGACCGCCUUGUGUCGGCUGAGGGUCGGACUGGGAACAGCUAUUUCGGGAUCUUUCCCCGAGCGUCGAACCGCCAACUCAGAACUGGUACGGAAAAGGGCAAUCCAACUGAUUAAUUAAAACAAAGCAUUGCGAUGUUCCCUGCGGAUGCUAACACAAUGUGAUUUCUGCCCAGCGCGGGUAAACGGCAGGAGUAACUAUGACUCUUUUAAGGUAGCCAAAUGCCUCGUCAUCUACUUAGUGACGCGCAUGAAUGGAUUAACGAGAUUCCCACUGUCCCUGUCUACUAUCCAACAAAACCACAGCCAAGGGAACGGGCUUGGCAGAAUCAGCGGGGAAAGAAGACCCUGUUGAGCUUGACUCUUGUCCAACUUUGUGAAAUGACUUGAGAGGUGUAGAAUAAGUGGGAGCUCUGGUGCAAGUGAAAUACCACUACUUUUAACAUUAUUUUACUUAUUUCGUGAAUCAGAUGCGGGGUAACAACCCUUCUUUUAGACCCAAGACUCGCUUCGGCAGGUCAAUCCGGGCGGAGGAAAUUGUCAGGUGGGGAGUUUGGCUGGGGCGGCACAUCUGUUAAAAAAAGAUAACGCAGGUGUCCUAAGAUGAGCUCAACGAGAACAUAAAUCUCGUGUGGAACAAAAGGGUAAAAGCUCGUUUGAUUCUGAUUUUCAGUACGAAUACGAACCGUGAAAGCGUGGCCUAUCGAUCCUUUAGACCUUUGGAAUUUGAAGCUAGAGGUGUCAGAAAAGUUACCACAGGGAUUAAUGGCUUGUGGCAGCCAAGCGCUCAUAGUGACGUUGAUUUUUGAUCCUUCGAUGUCGGCUCUUCCUAUCAUUGUGAAGCAGAAUUCACCAAGUGUUUGAUUGUUCACCCACCAAUAGGGAACGAGAGCUGGGUUUGGAACGUCGUGAGACAGGUUAGUUUGACCCUACUGAUGCCCACUUUGCAAUAGUAAUUCAACCUAGUACGAGAGGAACCGUUGAUUAGCACAAUUGGUCAUCGCGUUUGGUUGAAAAGCAAAAGUGGGGCAAAUCUAUCGCGGCGCUGGAUUAUGACUGAACGCCUCUAAGUCAUAAUCUGGGCUAGAAGCAACACAUGUGCCCGCCGCCUGAUUGCCGACCCUCAGUUGGAGCUUCGGCUCCCAAAGGCACGUGUCGUUGGCUAAGUCCGUUCGGCGAAAGCGCUGUUGGGACCGCCUUGAAUUAUAAUUACCACCGAGCGGCGGGUAGAAUCCUUUGCAGACGACUUAAAUACGCGACGGGGUAUUGUAAGUGGCAGAGUGGCCUUUCUGCCACGAUCCACUGAGAUUCAGCCCUUUGUCACUAAGAUUCGACCCUCCCCC